rnacentral:rRNA from 1 species
UACGUAGGGGCAAGCGUUGUCCGGAAUCAUUGGGCGUAAAGAGCGUGUAGGCGGUCCGGUAAGUCGGCUGUGAAAGUCCAGGCUCAACCCUGGGAUGCCGGUCGAUACUGCCGGACUAGAGUUCGGAAGAGGAGAGUGGAAUUCCUGGUGUAGCGGUGAAAUGCGCAGAUAUCAGGAAGAACACCAAUGGCGAAGGCAGCUCUCUGGGACGGUACUGACGCUGAGACGCGAAAGCGUGGGGAGCGAACAGG